AUUGAACGCUGGCGGCAUGCCUAACACAUGCAAGUCGAACGGCAGCACAGCAUGUAGCAAUACAUGUGGGUGGCGAGUGGCGGACGGGUGAGUAACGCGUGGGAAUCUGCCCUAUAGUGGGGGACAACCCGACGAAAGUCGGGCUAAUACCGCAUACGCCCUACGGGGAAAGGCUUCGGCCGCUAUUGGAUGAGCCCGCGUCGGAUUAGCUAGUUGGUGAGGUAAUGGCUCACCAAGGCGACGAUCCGUAGCUGGUCUGAGAGGACGAUCAGCCACACUGGGACUGAGACACGGCCCAGACUCCUACGGGAGGCAGCAGUGGGGAAUAUUGCACAAUGGGCGAAAGCCUGAUGCAGCAAUGCCGCGUGUGUGAAGAAGGCCUGCGGGUUGUAAAGCACUUUCGGUAGGGAAGGAUUAAUGACGGUACCUACCAGAAGAAGCACCGGCUAACUCCGUGCCAGCAGCCGCGGUAAU
rnacentral:rRNA from 1 species